ensembl:lncRNA
CAAAGAAGCCCAGAUUUUUAAGACUACAAAAAAAUACCUAACUCUUUAAUGCCCAGACACUGAAGAACAUCUACAAGCAUCAACACAAUAAAAGAGUACCUUCACCGAACAAAGUAAGUAAGGUAAAACCCCCGUGUGAAGGGGGGUUUUAUGUUGAUGAUUAAGAUUGAUCAGACAAAUAAAGGGGUUUGGUAUUGGGAUACUGCGGGGGGUUUUAUGUUGAUGAUGGUGGUAAUGAAGUUGAUGGCUCCUAAGAUAGAGGAAAUACCUGCUAGGUGGAGAGAGAAGAUGACUAAGUCUACAGAAGCUCCUGGGUGGGAGAAGUUUCCUGCCAGGGGGGGAUAUACUGUUCAGCCUGUUCCGGCGCCAGCUUCUACCACGGCGGAUGCUAUUAGUAGCAGGAAAGAAGGGGGGAGGAGUCAGAAGCUCAUGUUGUUUAGACGGGGAAAUGCUAUGUCGGGAGCGCCGAUUAUUAGGGGCACUAGUCAGUUCCCGAACCCCCCAAUUAUAAUGGGUAUAACUGUAAAGAAAAUUAUAACAAAUGCAUGGGCCGUUACAAUAACGUUAUAGAUGUGGUCGUUGCCUAGUAGGUUGCCGGGUUGGCCUAGUUCAGCUCGAAUGAGGAGGCUUAGGGCAGUGCCUAUGAUUCCAGCUCAUGCACCAAAUAGUAAAUACAGGGUUCCAAUGUCUUUGUGAUUUGUUGAAAAGAGUCAGCGAUUGAUGAGCAUAAGUGGUAAAAUGGCUGAGUAAGUAUUAGGCUGUAAACCUAAAGAUGGGGGUUUAGUCCCCCUUUUACCAGCCCCGAGGUGAUUUUCAUGUUGAAUUGCAAAUUCAAAGGAGCAGUCUUAGAGUUUCUGCCGGGGCUUCUCCCGCCUUUUUUUUCCUGCGGCGGGAGAAGUGGGUCAAAGCCAGUCGGUUAGGGUGCUUAGCUGUUAACUAAGUUUUUGUGGGUUCGAGUCCCAUUGAUCUAGUAAGGGCUUAGCUUAAUUAAAGUGGUUGAUUUGCGUUCAAUUGAUGCAGAGUAGGUGUUUGCAGUCCUUAUGUGUUUCAGAAAUUAAGUGUUUCUACUUACUAAGGGCUUUGAAGGCUCUUGGUCUUGUUUAACCUAAAUUUCUAGUGAAAGGUUAAGAGUAGGGGGGAGAUUGGUAGUAGAAGAGUAGAGAUGAUGAUGAGUGGGGGGAUAAGGAGUGUGGGUUUUGUAUUUUCGAGUUGUCAUGUUAUUUUUGUGUUGUUGGAUGUAGGGAAUAGCGUUAGGGAGGUGGUGUAGAUUAGGCGUAUAUAAAAGUAUAGGUUAAGUAGGGUUAUGAUAGUUAUAAUAGAGGGGAUGAGGAAGUUGUUGUUCAUUGUGAGUUCUUGGAUGAUAAUUCAUUUAGGUAGGAAACCGGUUAGGGGGGGUAGGCCUCCUAGAGAUAUGAGAAUGGGUGCUAUUAGUGGUGCUAGGUGGGUUGAUUUGUUUCAGGUGCGGGAUAGUAUGAGGGUUGUGGUGCUUGAGCUUAAGUUAAGGGUCAGGAAUAUGGUAGUUGUUAGGAUAAUGUAUAUAGUUAAAUAAAGAAUUGUAGUUGUUGGGGGGUAAUCAAUAUCAGAAAAACAGAGAUAUGAGACCUUUCAGAAAGAGGAUUUAUAAUAGUUAUCUUGAAAAAACUCAAAGAAAUUCAAGAUAACAUGU